rnacentral:lncRNA from 1 species
CUGCCUUCCAGCCGGGUCACCCUGAGUGCUGCAGGCUUAGCCAAUGAAGCUCCUGAAAUUCCUGACAAUGGCGGAGAUAGUCGUGGGGUGUCCACCGCUUUGCCACUGAUAGGAGUGAUUCCAGAGGAACUUGAUCCUCAAUCUGGGACUGUUUGCAGGAGUUUGGUUUGCCAGGAACUUGAGUGACAUUGACCCCAUGACACCUCAGCCGGUGGUG